CCUGGCUCACUUCAUGGCUGGCGGCGCGCCUAACACAUGCAAGUCGAACGCGUGAUGAAGAGCUUGCUCUUCAAAUCGAGUGGCGAACGGGUGAGUAACGCGUGAGGAACCUGCCUCAAAGAGGGGGACAACAGUUGGAAACGACUGCUAAUACCGCAUAAGCCCACGGCUCGGCAUCGAGCAGAGGGAAAAGGAGCAAUCCGCUUUGAGAUGGCCUCGCGUCCGAUUAGCUAGUUGGUGAGGUAACGGCCCACCAAGGCGACGAUCGGUAGCCGGACUGAGAGGUUGAACGGCCACAUUGGGACUGAGACACGGCCCAGACUCCUACGGGAGGCAGCAGUGGGGAAUAUUGCACAAUGGGGGAAACCCUGAUGCAGCGACGCCGCGUGGAGGAAGAAGGUCUUCGGAUUGUAAACUCCUGUUGUUGAGGAAGAUAAUGACGGUACUCAACAAGGAAGUGACGGCUAACUACGUGCCAGCAGCCGCGGUAAAACGUAGGUCACAAGCGUUGUCCGGAAUUACUGGGUGUAAAGGGAGCGCAGGCGGGAGAACAAGUUGGAAGUGAAAUCCAUGGGCUCAACCCAUGAACUGCUUUCAAAACUGUUUUUCUUGAGUAGUGCAGAGGUAGGCGGAAUUCCCGGUGUAGCGGUGGAAUGCGUAGAUAUCGGGAGGAACACCAGUGGCGAAGGCGGCCUACUGGGCACCAACUGACGCUGAGGCUCGAAAGUGUGGGUAGCAAACAGGAUUAGAUACCCUGGUAGUCCACACCGUAAACGAUGAUUACUAGGUGUUGGAGGAUUGACCCCUUCAGUGCCGCAGUUAACACAAUAAGUAAUCCACCUGGGGAGUACGACCGCAAGGUUGAAACUCAAAGGAAUUGACGGGGGCCCGCACAAGCAGUGGAGUAUGUGGUUUAAUUCGACGCAACGCGAAGAACCUUACCAAGUCUUGACAUCCCUUGACGAUGCUGGAAACAGUAUUUCUCUUCGGAGCAAGGAGACAGGUGGUGCAUGGUUGUCGUCAGCUCGUGUCGUGAGAUGUUGGGUUAAGUCCCGCAACGAGCGCAACCCUUAUGGUCAGUUACUACGCAAGAGGACUCUGGCCAGACUGCCGUUGACAAAACGGAGGAAGGUGGGGAUGACGUCAAAUCAUCAUGCCCUUUAUGACUUGGGCUACACACGUACUACAAUGGCGUUAAACAAAGAGAAGCAAGACCGCGAGGUGGAGCAAAACUCAGAAACAACGUCCCAGUUCGGACUGCAGGCUGCAACUCGCCUGCACGAAGUCGGAAUUGCUAGUAAUCGUGGAUCAGCAUGCCACGGUGAAUACGUUCCCGGGCCUUGUACACACCGCCCG
rnacentral:rRNA from 1 species